rnacentral:rRNA from 1 species
UACGGGGGGAGCAAACGUUGUUCGGAAUCACUGGGCGUAAAGGGCGUGUAGGCGGCUGAAUAAGUGGGAUGUUAAAUCCCCCGGCUCAACCGGGGACCUGCAUCUCAUACUGUUCAGCUCGAGCACAUCAGAGGAGACUGGAAUUCCCGGUGUAGCGGUGAAAUGCGUUGAUAUCCAGCGGAACUCCGGUGGCGAAGGCGGCUCGCUGGGCCCUCUCUGACGCUGAGGCGCGAAAGCCAGGGGAGCGAACGGG